rnacentral:rRNA from 1 species
UACGGAGGAUCCGAGCGUUAUCCGGAUUCACUGGGUUUAAAGGGUGCGUAGGCGGGCAGGUAAGUCAGUGGUGAAAUCUCCGGGCUUAACUCGGAAACUGCCGUUGAUACUAUUUGUCUUGAAUAUUGUGGAGGUAAGCGGAAUAUGUCAUGUAGCGGUGAAAUGCUUAGAUAUGACAUAGAACACCAAUUGCGAAGGCAGCUUACUACACAACGAUUGACGCUGAGGCACGAAAGCGUGGGGAUCAAACAGG